rnacentral:rRNA from 1 species
UACGAAGGGGGCUAGCGUUGUUCGGAAUUACUGGGCGUAAAGCGCACGUAGGCGGGUUUGUAAGUAGGGGGUGAAAUCCCCGGGCUCAACCCGGGAACUGCCUUCUAGACUGCAAGCCUGGAGGUCAGGAGAGGCGAGUGGAAUUCCGAGUGUAGAGGUGAAAUUCGUAGAUAUUCGGAGGAACACCAGUGGCGAAGGCGACUCGCUGGACUGAUACUGACGCUGAGGUGAGAAAGCGUGGGGAGCAAACAGG